rfam:Ovis aries breed Texel chromosome 14, whole genome shotgun sequence.
UCCCUGGUGGUCCAGUGGCUAACACUCUGCACUUCCAAUGCAGGAGCCCAAGGUUUGAUCCCUAGUCAGGGAA